GACGAACGCUUGCGGCGUGCUUAACACAUGCAAGUCGAACGGAAAGGCCCUGCUUUUGUGGGGUGCUCGAGUGGCGAACGGGUGAGUAACACGUGAGUAACCUGCCCUUGACUUUGGGAUAACUUCAGGAAACUGGGGCUAAUACCGGAUAGGAGCUCCUGCUGCAUGGUGGGGGUUGGAAAGUUUCGGCGGUUGGGGAUGGACUCGCGGCUUAUCAGCUUGUUGGUGGGGUAGUGGCUUACCAAGGCUUUGACGGGUAGCCGGCCUGAGAGGGUGACCGGCCACAUUGGGACUGAGAUACGGCCCAGACUCCUACGGGAGGCAGCAGUGGGGAAUAUUGCACAAUGGGCGGAAGCCUGAUGCAGCAACGCCGCGUGCGGGAUGACGGCCUUCGGGUUGUAAACCGCUUUCGCCUGUGACGAAGCGUGAGUGACGGUAAUGGGUAAAGAAGCACCGGCUAACUACGUGCCAGCAGCCGCGGUGAUACGUAGGGUGCGAGCGUUGUCCGGAUUUAUUGGGCGUAAAGGGCUCGUAGGUGGUUGAUCGCGUCGGAAGUGUAAUCUUGGGGCUUAACCCUGAGCGUGCUUUCGAUACGGGUUGACUUGAGGAAGGUAGGGGAGAAUGGAAUUCCUGGUGGAGCGGUGGAAUGCGCAGAUAUCAGGAGGAACACCAGUGGCGAAGGCGGUUCUCUGGGCCUUUCCUGACGCUGAGGAGCGAAAGCGUGGGGAGCGAACAGGCUUAGAUACCCUGGUAGUCCACGCUGUAAACGGUGGGUACUAGGUGUGGGGUCCAUUCCACGGGUUCCGUGCCGUAGCUAACGCUUUAAGUACCCCGCCUGGGGAGUACGGCCGCGAGGCUAAAACUCAAAGGAAUUGACGGGGCCCCGCACAAGCGGCGGAGCAUGCGGAUUAAUUCGAUGCAACGCGUAGAACCUUACCUGGGUUUGACAUGGAUCGGGAGUGCUCAGAGAUGGGUGUGCCUCUUUUGGGGUCGGUUCACAGGUGGUGCAUGGCUGUCGUCAGCUCGUGUCGUGAGAUGUUGGGUUAAGUCCCGCAACGAGCGCAACCCUUGUUCACUGUUGCCAGCACGUUAUGGUGGGGACUCAGUGGAGACCGCCGGGGUCAACUCGGAGGAAGGUGGGGAUGACGUCAAGUCAUCAUGCCCCUUAUGUCCAGGGCUUCACGCAUGCUACAAUGGCUGGUACAGAGAGUGGCGAGCCUGUGAGGGUGAGCGAAUCUCGGAAAGCCGGUCUCAGUUCGGAUUGGGGUCUGCAACUCGACCUCAUGAAGUCGGAGUCGCUAGUAAUCGCAGAUCAGCAACGCUGCGGUGAAUACGUUCCCGGG
rnacentral:rRNA from 1 species